rnacentral:rRNA from 1 species
UGCAUGUCUAAGCACAAACUUUUACACGGUGAAGCUGCGAAUGGCUCAUUAGGUCACCCAUGAUUUCUUGGAUCGUACAAUCCUACUUGGAUAACUGUGGUAAUUCUAGAGCUAAUACAUGCGAGCAAGCUCCGACCCCUCGUGGGAAAGAGCGCGUUUAUUAGAUCAAAACCAAUCGGACUUUCGGGUUCGUACGUUUGGUGACUCUGGAUAACUUUGAGCGGAUCGCACGGGCUUGACCCGGCGACGUAUCUUUCAAGUGUGUGCCCUAUCAACUUUCGAUGGUACGCGAUAUGCCUACCAUGGUUGUAACGGGUAACGGGGAAUCAGGGUUC